AGCUUGGAAACCAGACACGAACUGGAGACAGACAACCGCGGGCUUGGAGCGUUUCCCCUAACGCUGAUGGGACACUGGACAAGGAUCCCUCCCCGCUUGGCGCCUGCAGGGGCGUCAGACAAGCGGAGCCCUGGCGUGGAGCCACUAGGUGGCGCCAGUGGCCCCCGGCUCACGGAUGCGGACCGCUCUGAUAACCUCUGCGCUUUUUGCAUAGAUCAAACCAUCCUGGCCAGGUUUGGAACCUGAGAAGCAGGGGUUGGGGAGGAAAGAGACGCCAGGUCACGUGGCUAGCAAUUAUCGGAGACCAGACUCAAAGUUCCCACUGCAAAAAAAGAAGCUUCGGUGCCCCACAAGCCCAAGAGGAAAAGGCAUUCACCCGGGUGACCAGGCUCUAGUGCGGAGCAAGGAGGAGACAUUGUCCCCUAUUGAUGCGAUCGGAGUCAGUCUGGGGCGAGUGUGAGACGGACCUCUUCACUUAAAUCUAGAAAGUAAGGGGAAAUCAGAGUGCAUGACCCACAGAGAACAGGAUUUGUUCCCCUGGGAAGCGGAAACCAGACUGUUCUUGGAGGCGAACGUGCCUUUCCACACUUGUGAGCCUGUGUGCACCCACACUCUGUGGGGAUGGAC